rnacentral:misc_RNA from 1 species
CAGAGAUCAUGCCCCUCGUUGGGUAGACCUCCCACCCUGUGUUAUUUACGAUUGUUGCUUUGGCAGGCCGCCAGCAUGCUGGCGCUCGGCUUCGGCUGAGGUGCGCCUGCCAGAGGACCCAAAACCCUGAUUAUUAGUGUCGUCUGAGUACUAUAUAAUAGUUA